rnacentral:lncRNA from 1 species
UGCUUAUUAGCAUAUACACAUUUUGGGAGUAUUUGACUAAGCAUUAACCAUUCCAGCUAAGAGAUCAGUGUUUGUCAUUCAAAAUAGCUGAGGUGGUUGGGAGAGGACAGCCAGUAUUCCCCAAAAGAGGUUUAUUAGUUUCCUAGGCUGCUGUCACAAAUUGACACAGACUUAGUGACUUAAAACAACAGAAAUGUGUUUGUGUCACUACAUUCUCUGCUUCUCUGGCACAUGGACUCUUCUUCUGCAUCCAGUUUUCCUCUGUCUUCCUCUCAUAAGCAUGCGUGUGGUAGCAUUUAGCGUCCACCCAGGCAAUCUAGAUUAAUCUCUCACCUCAAGCUCCUUAACUGAAUCACAUCUGC